AGCGAACGCUGGCGGCAGGCCUAACACAUGCAAGUCGAACGAAGUCUUCGGACUUAGUGGCGGACGGGUGAGUAACACGUGGGAACGUACCUUUUGGUUCGGAACAACUCAGGGAAACUUGAGCUAAUACCGGAUGAGCCCUUAGGGGGAAAGAUUUAUCGCCGAAAGAGCGGCCCGCGUUCGAUUAGCUAGUUGGUGAGGUAAAGGCCCACCAAGGCUACGAUCUAUAGCUGGUCUGAAAGGAUGAUCAGCCACUCUGGGACUGAGACACGGUCCAGACUCCUACGGGAGGCAGCAGUAGGGAAACUUGCGCAAUGGGCGAAAGCCUGACGCAGCCAUUCCGCGUGAAUGAUGAAGGUCUUAGGAUUGUAAAAUUCUUUUACCAGGGACGAUAAUGACGGUACCUGGAGAAAAAGCCCCGGCUAACUUCGUGCCAGCAGCCGCCGUAAAAC
rnacentral:rRNA from 1 species